CCUGGCGGCGAGUGGCGAACGGGUGAGUAAUAUAUCGGAACGUGCCCUGGAGUGGGGGAUAACGCAGCGAAAGUUGCGCUAAUACCGCAUACGAUCUAAGGAUGAAAGCGGGGGAUUCGCAAGAACCUCGUGCUCCUGGAGCGGCCGAUAUCUGAUUAGCUAGUUGGUGGGGUAAAGGCCUACCAAGGCAUCGAUCAGUAGCUGGUCUGAGAGGACGACCAGCCACACUGGAACUGAGACACGGUCCAGACUCCUACGGGAGGCAGCAGUGGGGAAUUUUGGACAAUGGGCGAAAGCCUGAUCCAGCAAUGCCGCGUGAGUGAAGAAGGCCUUCGGGUUGUAAAGCUCUUUUGUCAGGGAAGAAACGGUGGAGGUUAAUACCUUCCGCUAAUGACGGUACCUGAAGAAUAAGCACCGGCUAACUACGUGCCAGCAGCCGCGGUAAUACGUAGGGUGCAAGCGUUAAUCGGAAUUACUGGGCGUAAAGCGGGCGCAGGCGGUUUUGUAAGUCUGUCGUGAAAUCCCCGGGCUCAACCUGGGA
rnacentral:rRNA from 1 species